GCCCGCUCGGCGGGAGGGGAUCACUGUGCGAGGCGCGGCCUGCUUCCCGCGGCCCUGUGUCCGGGGGGACAGAGCUCCGUGCCGCCCGAGGGGAGCAGCCCGAGCUGUCUCCGAGGGGACAGAGCUCCGUGCCGCCCGAGGGGAGCAGCCCGAGCUGUCCCCGGGGGGAAAGAGCUCCGUGCCGCCCGAGGGGAGCAGCGCGGCUGGCGGGAGACGUGGCGCUGCUGAGGGGCGCGGGUGAAGCCUGGGGCCCACAUAAAGAGCGCCAGGAUCUGAGGGUGCCGGCGGGCUGCUCAGAAAGCAGCGUCUCCUUUCUGUCUCCCUCCAAGUGCCGCUGCUCACCGGGAGAUCCACGGGAAGUUUGAGGAUAAGAUGAGAGUUGGAAUAAUGAUCUGGCAGCAGCUGAGCUUUGCUUAGCACUGCUGUCAGAAGGAACAUUUUGUUUCAGUGGCAUAGCAACCACAGGAUGAAAAGGGCCAGGAAUGAGAGGGAAAGGGGAGAUGCUGUCCCACUCUGUAAUGCAGUUUCCUGGUGGGGGAAAUCCUGGGGUGCUCUAGAAAGCACUGAGCAGCUUGAACUGGGCUCACGGGACUCAGGGUUUAUUAGUGCUCUAGUGCCCUGGUAAUGCCAUGGCACCUGUCUCUUGUCACGCUCAGUUUGGUCCCAGUGCAGAGUGCAGCAGCUCUCCCAGAUCUCCAGUAAGGAUGUAUAUAGUAUCCACAAAUCAGACUACACAUUAAAUAACUCCCUUCUCCCUCAUUCCGUGUGUUUAAGGAGAAACAUGGCUCAGGAGUGCACUGGCAGGUCCCUUCCUCAGAGGCCAGGCCAUCUGCCAAGCCCCUCUCCAAUACAGAUUGUCCCAGCAGGACCAUGCUCAAACCUGGACAUCUCACGGACUUUGAAGUCUGUUUUCAUCUAAAACUCCACUGCCAUAAAUUUGGAAGCAGCAUUCCUUCUGCAGAUAAAAGUAUGGUAAAUCCAGUAUGAUAAAGGAUUUCUUCUUUUCUUUUUUCUCCCCCCAGAAAGUUCAGAUAUUUUUAAACACUACAUAUGUGUUAUCCAAUGGUCUUAUAAGUUGAUGUUCUGCCUUUUAAAAAUGAUAAUUUCAUUUCAAUUCAGACAUCAUUCAGCUAUGAAGGGUAAAAAUAGCAAAUACUAUUUCCUCAUCCUCUACUCUGAAAUUUAUGAUCAAAAUCAUCACAAAGACAAGCAAUCCAUUAGUGUUUUUUAUACCACUAGUACACCCAGAUUCACAGGCACAAGAAGAAGCCAUCAGUAGCAUGUCACACUUGAUAAAUCAGUGCAUUCAGGUCCUGAGCACAAUGCUCUGCUACAGCAAUUCAGUGUGCAUCAGCUGAGUGUGGACUGGCAGCAGGGAGUUCAAUUCUUAACUUGUCACCACUGAAAGGUAAAACAUGUUGGAGGAAAAAGAUGUGGAUGAAGAACUUUCAUCUUGGCAGUUCUAAUGACUCAGGAGGAUAGGGCAAACUUCUUAAAUGACAAUAACUUCAUUGUAAGUCUGAGCCCCAAGAUCUAUGGAAAUGGCAGUCUGAGUGUGUGAGAAAAGGUCCAGCUUUGUGGAUAUGAGAGGUCAGCCAAGGAGAAUACGUGUGGUGAAGCAUCUACUCAUGACUUUAAGCUUCUGCUACCUCUGCAGUGAAAAUAUAUGCCAUUCAAAUUUAAAAGCUAUCACUGUGCAGCUUAACAGAUCUGAUAAAAUUAAAGCAAAUAAUCCAUAGUAAUCAUGCAUUUUUGGUUGCAAAAUGAUGAGGAAGUUCUGGGGAAUCACAGCACUAACGCCCCACUGAAAGGACACCCAUGGUAGAAACCCCAAAACUAUACAGUGAGGCUAUGCUCAAUACUGGGCUCUGGCUGUAUCAGUGUCUAGGGAAGGUAGGAGGGCUCUGAUCAACUUGAGUGAAUAUGAUGUUCCUCAUCCUCUUACAUAGUGUGGCUUAAGAGCUAAAUUCCAAAUGUAGGGCAAAAGAGUUAAAGCAUACUGGUCCUGAUUUAGCUGAUAUGAAGAAAACGAUUUCAGUGAGUUUCCUGCCUUACAUCUGGGUGUUGGUUUAGUGGAUCCUAUCCAUCCCAAACCGGACAAAUGAAACUGUGCAAGACAAACAACCUUUGUUUCCUGAACUCAGGCACUUAGUCAUCAGUAAUUAAUUACUACAGGUAAAUGAGCCAAAACACUUCAUAAAGCAAUUUUUUUUUUUGUUUCUCAGCUAUUGCAUCUGCUGCUUUUCCACAACCACCUGAAUAAUAAAAUGCUUCUCUUGACAUUAUGCCAGCCAUGGAAGAAACAAGCUGGUUGAAAUUAAUCACAUGCCAAUCACAGUCACAGGGUUGCUCUACACACAUUGAAAUACCUGGUUUAUGGGAAUAAGGUACUGCAGCUCCUAUCAUCGGGCAGCCGAAUCUGUUGUGAUUUGUAUGCGCCAAAACAAUUUAAGGUUUGCGUGCAUAAAAAUCCGGUUAGGCGGAGAUUGAGAUCUAAGGAGGAGGGAUUCUGUGCUAAAGGGAGAAUUAUUUUCCUGUGGUAUGAAAAUAACAAAAAUCAAGGCAUUUAAUUAAAUGCCUCAAUGUGUGGAGCUGGGUUGAUACAUUUAUCUGCAAAUAUCCUGAAAAACUAUCUGUUAAUUUCUGUGGCUUGACUUUGGGACAAUUCAAGCUAGUAUUUUGCUUUUGUGAUGGAAUGUGUGCACAGUGGUUCAGAAAAAAAACCAGAGAACAAACACACAGCCCAUUUUUCAGACCUCUCUUGGAUGUGUGUAUGUGCUGUAUGUGCAGUUUGUGUUGUUCCUUAUAUUAUUCCCAUCCCAUUGCCUGCUGACUACCUGCUGAAAUGGCUGCUUAAACAGAAAGCACUGCAGCAGACUCUGUGCCUACAUGCUCAAGUGUUAGAGGAGUUAAUUCUUGCCAUCCCUGGCAAAGUCAACUUUUGAGUCAACUCAAGUUUAAGAAGUUUAAGUCAAACUUCUUCAUGUGAACAUUAUCCCUGAAGCUUCUUUCUCGUCUUCUUUUCUCAGCCUAAUCAAAAGAAAACACUGAAAUGUCUUUUUCAGCAUCUUCAGUAAUGGAUUUAUUUCUUUUAAGUGGGAAAAAAGGCCUGUUGAUUUUCCUGGCAGAGUCAAAGGAGGUGACAGCUGUCAUGCUCACACAGUGAAGCUGGAAUUAAUUCCCUGAACCUGGGCAAGAGCUGUACCACUGCAAGCCAGCAGUAAGGUGGAGUACCCUGGGAAGCAGUGUUUUCUACAAGUGACAUUUUUGGUGGCUGUUUACAAGACCUCGGUGAAGUCAUCGGCAAAAAUUCCUUCUUAAAGGAUCAUUUAAGAAUUAAGCAUACUACUUGAACUAUGAUUUCAUAAAAGACUUUUCUUAGAAAUAAACCAACUAUAAAUAAACAGAAAAGUAACCCAUCCCUGGAAAAGUAAUGAUAUCAAGCCAUAAAAGAGCACAAAGUGUUGCAAAGGAGAAAUGGAUCGCAGACAGAGAAAUUAAAACAGUUCCACUCAUUAAAACAGAAACAGGCAUGUUGAGGCUUAUCAGGAUGAUUUGUCAAAGCACGCAAGAAUGUUCAUGGAUUGCAGUGAAUAACUCCAUGUCCAACGGCAAA